rnacentral:rRNA from 1 species
UGCCAGCAGCCGCGGUAAUACGGAGGAUGCAGGCGUUAUCCGGAUUUAUUGGGUUUAAAGGGUGCGUAGGCGGGCAGACAAGUCAGUGGUGAAAUCCUGCGGCUCAACCGUAGAACUGCCAUUGAAACUGUAUGUCUUGAAUAUAUCUGAGGUAGCUGGAAUGCGUAGUGUAGCGGUGAAAUGCAUAGAUAUUACGCAGAACGCCAAUUGCGAAGGCAGGUUACUAAGAUAUUAUUGACGCUGAGGCACGAAAGCGUGGGGAGCGAACAGGAUUAGAUA